rnacentral:misc_RNA from 1 species
UUAAGUUCAGCGGGUAUUCCUACCUGAUCCGAGGUCAAACUUUGGAAAGAUUCGUCUUCUUUACGGCGUGGCCGCGCCGCGUUCCGGUGCGAGGUGUUAGCUACUACGCAGAGGAAGCCGCGGCGUGACCGCCACUGGAUUUCGGGGCCGGCCGCCGCCAGGCGGGGCCGAUCCCCAACGCCAAGCCCCGGAAGGGGGGC